rnacentral:rRNA from 1 species
ACUGACCCCCUCCGUGCCGCAGUUAACACAAUAAGUAUCCCACCUGGGGAGUACGAUCGCAAGGUUGAAACUCAAAGGAAUUGACGGGGGCCCGCACAAGCGGUGGAGUAUGUGGUUUAAUUCGAAGCGACGCGAAGAACCUUACCAGGGCUUGACAUCCCGGUGACCGCUCUAGAGAUAGGGUUUUCCCUUCGGGGACACUGGAGACAGGUGGUGCAUGGUUGUCGUCAGCUCGUGUCGUGAGAUGUUGGGUUAAGUCCCGCAACGAGCGCAACCCUUAUUGUUAGUUGCUACGCAAGAGCACUCUAGCGAGACUGCCGUUGACAAAACGGAGGAAGGUGGGGACGACGUCAAAUCAUCAUGCCCCUUAUGUCCUGGGCCACACACGUACUACAAUGGUGGUCAACAGAGGGAAGCAAAGCCGCGAGGUGGAGCAAAUCCCUAAAAGCCAUCCCAGUUCGGAUCGCAGGCUGCAACCCGCCUGCGUGAAGUUGGAAUCGCUAGUAAUCGCGGAUCAGAAUGCCGCGGUGAAUACGUUCC